UUCUUGACUUUAAACAAAUAAAAAACUUUGACUUUCUCUUUCUUGACAUCAAACAAGUUCUUUAUACUUCAGUCUUCAAACAAGACCAACAAAAAUCUUUGGGUUUUUUUAAAGUGCUUUGGAUUUCCGUCUCCAACGACCAGAAUCGAACUUCUGCUGCUCUGUCAAGUUGAAAAAGGACAAACUAAGCUUUCAAUGUAGAUUUCCCUAUCAUUAUUGCUGUCAAGGUUAGUAAUGUUUGUAUAUUUAUAUGAGUCAUCUUUUGUAUUAUAUAUAAUGUAAGGUUGUGGAUGAAUGAACAACAUUUCACCUUUGUUUGACAUGAAACAAGGCGACCCAUUGCAACAUCCCUCAAUAUGGAGCUUAUAACGGUCGUCUUCAAUGGGAUAACCCAAGUCAACAGCCUCAUUAACAGAGUUAUUAAAUAAAGAUGCAACAUGCAAGUCUCUAUAACACCAUUUAUCUCCAAACUUAAGAUCAUUCAAAACAAGCAAAUGGAGCAUCUCUUCCUUAUUAGCUGAUAAACUGAGAUGGGUGUCGAUAAAUUCAGGGCUAGAGAUUAAAGCAAGCCAAGUUUUCGAAAUAGAUCUGAAUGUCAAUAGAGAUUUUACCGAAAGCUUGGAGAGGAUUUCAGUGAUGAUUUCUGGUGGCAAAAUACACAUUGAAUCUGCUGGAAAUUGAGUAACAUUGGAAGAGCCUUCUUCACCUUCCAUUGAUCAGUAAGACAGAGUCACAAAUGACCAUUUGUAUACACCCAACACCAACCUUCAAUUUUUUUCUCAAUUUAUAUACUCCCACCACGUGUCAAGUUAUCCGCGGUGAUUUCAAAGUAGUACACAAGUUUUUCUCAACUGUACAUCUACUUCUACUCCCACCAUGUGUCAUGUUAUGUGUGGUGAUUUCAAAAUAGUACACAAAUUAUUC